CCUACGGGUGGCAGCAGUGAGGAAUAUUGGUCAAUGGACGAGAGUCUGAACCAGCCAAGUAGCGUGAAGGAUGACUGCCCUAUGGGUUGUAAACUUCUUUUAUAUGGGAAUAAAAUAUUGUAUGUAUAGGAUCUUGUAUGUACCAUAUGAAUAAGGAUCGGCUAACUCCGUGCCAGCAGCCGCGGUAAUACGGAGGAUCCGAGCGUUAUCCGGAUUUAUUGGGUUUAAAGGGAGCGUAGGUGGAUUGUUAAGUCAGUUGUGAAAGUUUGCGGCUCAACCGUAAAAUUGCAGUUGAAACUGGCAGUCUUGAGUACAGUAGAGGUGGGCGGAAUUCGUGGUGUAGCGGUGAAAUGCUUAGAUAUCACGAAGAACUCCGAUUGCGAAGGCAGUUCACUGGACUGCAACUGACACUGAUGCUCGAAAGUGUGGGUAUCGAACAGGAUUAGAUACCCGGGUAGUC
rnacentral:rRNA from 1 species